rnacentral:rRNA from 1 species
CCUACGGGGCGCAGCAGUGAGGAAUAUUGGUCAAUGGGCUUACGCCUGAACCAGCCAAGUCGCGUGAGGGAAGACUGCCCUAUGGGUUGUAAACCUCUUUUGUCAGGGAGCAACGCCGGCUACGUGUAGCCGGACUGAGAGUACCUGAAGAAAAAGCAUCGGCUAACUCCGUGCCAGCAGCCGCGGUAAUACGUAGGGGGCAAGCGUUAUCCGGAUUUACUGGGUGUAAGGGGAGCGUAGACGGCGCGGCAAGUCUGAAGUGAAAGGCAGGGGCUUAACCCCUGACCUGCUUUGGAAACUGCCAUGCUAGAGUGCUGGAGAGGUAAGUGGAAUUCCUAGUGUAGCGGUGAAAUGCGUAGAUAUUAGGAGGAACACCAGUGGCGAAGGCGGCUUACUGGACAGUAACUGACGUUGAGGCUCGAAAGCGUGGGGAGCAAACAGGAUUAGAUACCCCAGUAGUC